GACGAACGCUGGCGGCGUGCUUAACACAUGCAAGUCGAACGGAAAGGCCCUGCUUUUGUGGGGUUCUCGAGUGGCGAACGGGUGAGUAACACGUGAGUAACCUGCCCUUGACUUUGGGAUAACUUCAGGAAACUGGGGCUAAUACCGGAUAGGAUCUCCUGCUGCAUGGUGGGGGUUGGAAAGUUUCGGCGGUUGGGGAUGGACUGGCGGCUUAUCAGCUUGUUGGUGGGGUAGUGGCUUACCAAGGCUUUGACGGGUAGCCGGCCUGAGAGGGGGACCGGCCACAUUGGGACUGAGAUACGGACCAGACUCCUACGGGAGGCAGCAGUGGGGAAUAUUGCACAAUGGGCGGAAGCCUGAUGCAGCAACGCCGCGUGCGGGAUGACGGCCUUCGGGUUGUAAACCGCUUUCGCCUGUGACGAAGCGUGAGUGACGGUAAUGGGUAAAGAAGCACCGGCUAACUACGUG
rnacentral:rRNA from 1 species